CCUUGAUAAAGGCAACCAGUUGGUGCUGAAACGUUGGGGGAGUUGGUGACUUGUGUUUCUGCCUUGAGGCUUGAAAGAUUUGGGUAAAUUAUUCUUGAUUACUAUUUGCCUCAUUUUGUUACUUUGUUUAUUUUUUGUAAUUUAUUGUUAUUUGCCUACUUAUUAAAGUUUUGUACUUGAUAACUGUGGUUGUUAUAGUGUGCAUUCUGUAU